GUCUCUUUGUGUGUUAUAAAUAAAGAGUCGGGCCUGCUCGGUGAAUAAUUGUUUUAACAGCUGCGGUAUUUUAACUGUACUAAGGUAGCAUAAUAAUUUGCCUUAUAAUUUGAGGCUAGAAUGAAUGGUUUGACGAAGGUUAAUCUGUCUCUAUUCUAUUUUUUAGAAAUUAAUUUUUAAAGUGAAAAAGCUUAUAUUUUUUAAAGGGACGAGAAGACCCUAUUGAGCUUAUAAUUUUAUUACUAUUAUUAUUGUAUGUGUGUAGUAGUAUAUAAAUUUUAAUUGGGGUGAUUAGGGAAUAAAAUAAUAAAUAUAGUAACUUCCUUAGAAUUAAUAUUGUUGGGUAAAGUAACCAAUAUUAUUGCUUAUAUUAUAGUUACCAUAGGGAUAACAGCGUAAUUUAUUUAGAGAGUUCUUAUUAAAAAAUGAGAUUGCGACCUCGAUGUUGGAUUAAAGUAACCUUAAGGUGCAGAAGCUUUAAUAGGUAAAUCUGUUCGAUUUUUAAAACUUUACA
rnacentral:rRNA from 3 species